AGUCGCUCUACCAGCAGGAACACAGCGUGUCACAGGGAGACCAGGACACCACACGGCUUUCAGUGCAAACUUGCUGACCACACAGGAGAUUUACAUCUACUUUCUUAUACAAAGAAUCGAAUCCUUUGCUUUCUGUUGGUAACAGCGAGUCACAGUUCAAAUCGGCGCAUGUCAAGUGAACAGAUUCCAGGUUCCAGCUUUCCCAGAAAACACAGAAACAUGGAGUAUUACACACAGCACUGAUUCAACUAAUUCACACUUCGUUUGUGAAGUAUGCCGUUUUCAUAGCCUUGUAAAGAAGUUACAGGAUUCUUCAAAGGGAUCCCUUCACUCAUCUGAGACACCCACUGCACAGUGUUUAAAAACAUGUUUGCUCUGGUUUAUACGCAGGAAGAGUCUAAACAAAAAGAAAAAAUGCAGAAAAAUAAUCUUUUCUCCAACAACUCUCCCCAAGCUGAUAUUUCCAUGGUGUUAUUCAAACCAGAAAAGCCUUCUCCUAUUGAAACUUGAAAUGUCCUAUUAAUGAACUGGGUGGUGGGGUGGGGGGGUGGAAGAUUAAAAGGAAGGCAAGAUAAAGACGCCUGUCGGAGCCUUUAAACCCUCCCUUCUCCGACCAAGGCU